UACGUAGGGGGGCAAGCGUUGUCCGGAUUUAUUGGGCGUAAAGAGCGUGUAGGCGGUUUGGUAGGUCCGCUGUGAAAACUCGAGGCUCAACCUCGAGACGCCGGUGGAAACCAUCAGGCUAGAGUCCGGAAGAGGAGAGUGGAAUUCCUGGUGUAGCGGUGAAAUGCGCAGAUAUCAGGAAGAACACCCGUGGCUAAGGCGGCUCUCUAGUACGGUACUGACGCUGAGACGCGAAAGCGUGGGGGAGCGAACAGG
rnacentral:rRNA from 1 species